GGCAAGUGAUGUCUUUUCUCACAAUGGUCUGCAGAUGCCACUGUGGGCAAUGCCGAUAACGCCAAAGGCUCAGCUGAUGCCAAGAG
ensembl:snoRNA